rnacentral:hammerhead_ribozyme from 15 species
AAUUAGUAGGGAGCUGAUGCCGCUCUCCUAACAAGGCUAUGGCAAGCCGAAACCAGUU